UAAUCAAAUGACAUUGAUCUAAU
rnacentral:snRNA from 1 species